rnacentral:rRNA from 1 species
AGCGGAGGAAAAGAAACCAACAGGGAUUGCCUCAGUAGCGGCGAGUGAAGCGGCAAGAGCUCAGAUUUGAAAUCUCACCUAGUGUGCGAGUUGUAAAUUGCAGGUUGGAGUCUCGGGUUAGACGUGUGUGCAAGUCCCUUGGAACAGGGUGCCACUGAGGGUGAGAGCCCCGUAGCGUGCAUGUCGACACCUGUGAGGCCCUUCUGACGAGUCGAGUUGUURGGGAAUGCAGCUCUAAGUGGGUGGUAAAUUCCAUCUAAGGCUAAAUAUUGGCGAGAGACCGAUAGCGAACAAGUACUGUGAAGGAAAGAUGAAAAGCACUUUGAAAAGAGAGUGAAACAGCACGUGAAAUUGUUGAAAGGGAAGGGUAUUGGGCUCGACAUGGGAUUUACGCAUCGUUGCCUCUUGUGGGCGGCGCUCUGGGUUUUUCCUGGGCCAGCAUCGGUUUUCGUUGCAGGAUAAGGACAAUUGGAAUGUGGCUCCUCGGAGUGUUAUAGCCUUUUGUAGAUGCUGCGUAUGGGGACCGAGGGCUGCGGCGGACUCGUU